rnacentral:rRNA from 1 species
GAUGAACGCUGGCGUCGUGCCUAAUACAUGCAAGUCGAGCGAACAGACGAGGAGCUUGCUCCUCUGACGUUAGCGGCGGACGGGUGAGUAACACGUGGAUAACCUACCUAUAAGACUGGGAUAACUUCGGGAAACCGGAGCUAAUACCGGAUAAUAUAUUUAACCGCAUGGUUCAAUAGUGAAAGACGGUUUUGCUGUCACUUAUAGAUGGAUCCGCGCCGCAUUAGCUAGUUGGUAAGGUAACGGCUUACCAAGGCAACGAUGCGUAGCCGACCUGAGAGGGUGAUCGGCCACACUGGAACUGAGACACGGUCCAGACUCCUACGGGAGGCAGCAGUAGGGAAUCUUCCGCAAUGGGCGCAAGCCUGACGGAGCAACGCCGCGUGAGUGAUGAAGGUCUUCGGAUCGUAAAACUCUGUUAUUAGGGAAGAACAAAUGUGUAAGUAACUAUGCACGUCUUGACGGUACCUAAUCAGAAAGCCACGGCUAACUACGUG